UUGAGCCGUAUGAGUGGAAACUAUCAUUUACGGUUCUUAGGCGAGAAAGGGGAAGCGAUUCCCCCUACUUAGCCGAG
rnacentral:ncRNA from 1 species